CAAAAAAAAAAAAAAAAAAAGCAGUAAAAGGGUCUUUAUUGGCUCAUUUAACUGGUAUGGAGAAGUGGAGGUGCCUUCAGGAUCAAUGAAAUCUAGGGAUUCCUGUCAUCCUCAUUGUUUUUCAUCUCUUUUUUGUUUCUCCUUUUCUUACCUUAUUCUCUUCUCCUGCAGAGAGGUUUCUUCAGGAUAACUUGAGCCAAAGACGAGGCAGCUGCAGAUGCACAUCAUCCCACUUUAGCAAUCCCAGAGGAAAGCAAGGGUAUCAGUACACAUAAUUCCAGAGAAGAAUUUCAGUUGACCUCGUCUGGAUUCCAUGUUCAAUCCUUGGACUCAGAGGAAGAAGGAAAUGGAGAAGGAGCAGCAGACUUCCACUUUAACCGCAUCAGCCUGGAUUGAAUCACCUGGUCACACUUAGCAACAAGAGGGCCCCGGGAGCACAACCCUCUAUGUCAGAUGAAGGAACUCUGAGUCAGCUCUUGUCCAGUUCAAGCCGGUUGAGACCACAGACCCCUCAACUGGGCCUGCUUGAGUGUUCCACAGGUGACCUUUUGUGUCAGAGGGCUGAAAAUUCCAUUGGAUCAUGCUAACACCGCUGGUGUUCUGAACAUACACCCUGUCCAGACGCAUGAAGCCCAUCUGCACAUGCGCAGAGCAACCAUUCAAUCCUUCCUCACGUGUCUUACCCACAGUUGCCUUGCCCUGCACCUCUGCCGGCACUGUGCCCUUUACUCACAAAUAUCCCAACCCUCUUGCCUUUGGGAGAGCAGACUUCGCGAUCUGUUCUCCUGUCUCAUGAGUAAACCCUCUCUUUGCUGCAAACGUCAGCGUCUGUCAGGCAAAGGAACAUGGUUUGGUAACGAAAUGACAGGAAUCUAAAGAAUUAGCAACAAGCAUUUUUCAAAAGUGUUAAAGUGCUUAUAAUAAAAGCAGCCUAUUUGUGAAGCAGAAUCCAGGUAAGAAGAAAAUUUAGUGAACUAUAUUAUACUAUGAAAUGGAUCUCUAUUAAAAUUAUUGUGCCAUAUGUCUCUACAUCUUUCACAAACCCGUCAACAUUUUCUCUUGCUAGCUACGAUCUAUCUUAUUUGUGCUUUAAUUUACUUCAGUUGACACCUACUAAUAUCUAAAGUCAAUUAGACCUGUUUUUCCCAGGACAGUCACAGCAUAAUUAUUAAUAGCAUCCCCUUUCAUUCUCAAGUGUUUUGGUUUAGAUGAUCAGUUAUAUGGUUUCCAUUAUAUCUAAAGAACAACAACAAAAAAAAAAUGAACUGGUCCAAGUGGAACUGUUUGGUAAUGACUUGGAAAGGGCCAUUGAAGAGUCUACUUCCCAGAAAAGAGCAAAUCACUUUGACAUGUCACGUGAAGCACACUAGAAUUUCCCUUGUGCUAAUACAGAAGACUAGGCGGCAUCCUUCAGUUCCUUACAGCCAUAGACAACGUCACAAUUUGUAUAGACUGGGAAAUCCCAGUUCCUCCUGUUACAAAAACCAGGAUCCUUUGCCCGAUACACAGCAAGCCAAACACUGAGACUGGAAAUAAGGGAAAGAUGAAGUAAUUGUUGCACUGACAGGCGAACCUAAGCUACAUGCUUCUUCAUGGGACACAUAUUCAGAAAAUGGCGGCAUUAGUGUGUUCUGAGGGAGGAGGUUUGCCCUCUGGCCCCAAAAGGUCAGCCAUUGGACACUUGAGCAUGCCCAGUUGGGGUCUGUGGCCCCAACCAGUUUGAACUGGCUUGAAAUGGACAACAGCUAACUCCAAGCUCCUGGAAAAACAACUUGGGCAAACAUCUUGACUCAUGACUUAAUGUUUAGACUACAUGACACUUGUAGGAUAUGCAAAUUUUUAUAAAAACAAAGCAAGUUUGAUCAGUGAAAGCAGGUUACAGUUUAUUGUUUAUUAAGCAAGUUAUAUUUAAUAGAUGUGAUGAUUAGCCUCAGAUUCACCCUCUUUUCUUUCCCUUUAACUUUGAUACUACUUUCUUUUGUUCUUGUUUAGAACAUCUGACAGAAUUUCUUUAACUUAGGCAUAGUUGGGGGUAGGAGUUGAUAUUGGAGGGCAAGGAAUGAGAUUCCAAUAAUAUAGACAUUAAACUGAAUGGAGAUCUUGGGAUGCUCAUAAAUUUGGAAGGCGUUGCACCAAUCUCUUUAUGCACCUCUACUCCAAGGCACAAAUUAUCUAACAGUGCUACAGCAAAUAUUCUCAUAUCUUUGGGUGCUUGCCCAAUUAUUUCCUUAUAAAUCCUUCUAUUUCUAUUUAUUUUCUAAAUUUAAACAAAUAUGCAUACUAUUUUUAAUACAUAAUGGCAGUUUGUUUUACUGUUAUAGUAAAUGGGAAUAUAUAUUUUUUCACACAUACAACACUGAAUAAUAUUUUCCUGGAGCAUCAGAUCUGUGACAAAUAAUAUCACUUUCUUUUCGUAUGUUUUUUUUUUUUUUUUGUCUUUGUAGGGCCACACCUGCAGCAUAUGGAAGU